GCCAGAUUGGUGUAGUGGUUUGCAUGUUGGAUUAUGACUCUGGAUAUCAGGGUUUGAAUCCCAGUUCAGCCA